CGAUGCUGGCGGCGUGCCUAACACAUGCAGUCGAACGGGGAUUUUGUUUCGGCAGAUCCUAGUGGCGAACGGGUGAGUACGCGUCUCUCAACCUGCCCCCCGGUCUGGGACAACACCCCGAAAGGGGUGCUAAUACCGGAUGCGAAGAGAGCAUCGCAUGGUGCUGUUUUGAAAGAUGGCCUCUAUUUAUAAGCUAUCGCCGGGGGAUGGGCCUGCGUCCGAUUAGCUGGUUGGUGAGGUAACGGCCCACCAAGGCGACGAUCGGUAGCCGGUCUGAGAGGAUGAACGGCCACAUUUGUUUUUGAUACACGGCCCAGACUCCUACGGGAGGCAGCAGUGGGGAAUCUUCCGCAAUGGGCGCAAGCCUGACGAGCACGCCGCGUGGGUGAGGAAGUCCUUCGGGACGUAAAGCCUGUGUAUGACGACGGGCUCCGGGAACAAUGGGAAGCAGUGACGGUAAUAGACGAGGAAGCCACGGCUACUACGUGCAGCAGCGCGGUAAUACGUAGUGGCAAGCGUUGUCCGAAUUAUUGGCGUAAAGCGCAUUGUAGCGCGUUUAAGUCUGUCCUGAACUGCGGGCUCACCCGUAUGGGAUGAACUGAUUGCUGAUGUGGAGAAAGGAAGGGACCCAUGUACGGGAAUGUCUAUUUGGGAAAACCCGUGCAAGGCCUUUGACUUGUUGAACCUGAAUCAGCAGUACGACGAUAAACGGUGUCUGCGUACGAUGGUCUAGUGGGAGUCGACCUCGGCGAUACAUAUACCGCUGGAGACGCAGGCUUAUACCAGAUAGGUCCCAAGGUGAUGUGUUAUUUCAACGCGACUACGUGUGCUCACAGCAGAUCUCUCUCUCCAAGAAAAGAAGUUCUCU
rnacentral:rRNA from 1 species